rnacentral:rRNA from 1 species
AUUGAACGCUGGCGGCAGGCCUAACACAUGCCAGUCGAGCGGAUGAAGGGAGCUUGCUCCUGGAUUCAGCGGCGGACGGGUGAGUAAUGCCUAGGAAUCUGCCUGGUAGUGGGGGAUAACGUCCGGAAACGGGCGCUAAUACCGCAUACGUCCUGAGGGAGAAAGUGGGGGAUCUUCGGACCUCACGCUAUCAGAUGAGCCUAGGUCGGAUUAGCUAGUUGGUGGGGUAAAGGCCUACCAAGGCGACGAUCCGUAACUGGUCUGAGAGGAUGAUCAGUCACACUGGAACUGAGACACGGUCCAGACUCCUACGGGAGGCAGCAGUGGGGAAUAUUGGACAAUGGGCGAAAGCCUGAUCCAGCCAUGCCGCGUGUGUGAAGAAGGUCUUCGGAUUGUAAAGCACUUUAAGUUGGGAGGAAGGGCAGCAAGUUAAUACCUUGCUGUUUUGACGUUACCAACAGAAUAAGCACCGGCUAACUUCGUG